GACCCGAAAGAUGGUGAA
rnacentral:ncRNA from 3 species